GGGCUGACUCCCAAGGAGGAAGAAUCUCUAUCUAGAGAUCCCUCCUCUUGGAGCCCUUCUGCAAGCUCAGGACACAGUUUGCUUGUAGAUAUGGUCUCAGGGUGAGCACACUGCAGAAGUCUAAUUAAGAACUGCAAAAGUAUUGACUGGAUACAGAAGAAGUAUUUGCAACAUCUUCUCUGCUUACAAGUGGAAAAUAACAGCCUGUCAUCUCAGCCAUUUGACAAACUAACUGACAACAUCUGAAGCUGACAAAGUGAUAACAUUUUCUGUCUGAAAACCGUAAAUGUGACCAACAAAGAGAUGGCCUACAGAAUUUUAAUACUAGAGAACUGUCACUCAGCAUUUUAUUUUUUUAUUUUUGACUACAUGGCUCAUUCCAGCAAUGUUUGAUUAAAAAAAUAAAUUAAUCCCUUAAGAGAUAAAGGAAAAGUAGGUCAGCACCUCAUAGAAACAAACCUCAUGAACCUCUAGUAAUAUAUCAGUGAUGAAUUUUCUGUAUAACUGUGGUCCAUAGACAUACUGAAAGAAUAUGCAAGGCAGAUAAGGUAUAUUUUGGUAAGAUUACAGUCCAGCUGAAUCUUUAUGAAGUCCUAAUAAGCUAAUUAUAAUAACUUCAGAUUUCAAAACUGAAACAAGAAUUAUUGUGUACGCUGUGUUAAUAUCAUUAAUAACUCCUCCAGUUCUGUUCUGACAUAGUAUGCCAUACACUGCAAAAAUACAACCUUUACUAAGUACGCAAAGUCUAAGACUGAACUCAUUUUGUACCCCAAAUAGGUUCCUUCUGUAGUACACACUGAAAAACCAAUAGAUUCACUCAAUACUCUGAAGUAUUUUAAUAGGAUAUUGUUGUUUGAUGUUGAUACUAGUACUGCACUACAUUUUCUGCUUUGCUAUUACAAAUCUGUUGGUUUUUUCCUUCCUUUCUAGACUUAGUUGAAUAUUUGAAACAUAAUGCACGUGAGUAAGAAGCAGAAAAUAAAUCAAGGUUUAGAAAUGAAUACACUAUUAAUUCAGAGUUUUGUGGUCUCUUUUCUGGAACAGCUGUCACAUAUAGGGGUUGUCAGUCAUUUUCAAAACAUUACAAAGUCUUUUGAAUUUCAGUCACAAAUAACCACAUUGUGAUUUACUUACUGAUUUUAAGUACCUUAGUCCUCCACAACUAUGUGAAUCCUUGUUGUGGAUUAACCUGGCAGGCAGCAAAGAAUCAAAGAACCACACAGCCAUCAGCUCACUUCACUCCGUGUGGAGUAAGGGAGAGAAUAAAAAAACAAAACAGAACACAUAGGCUAAGAUAAAAGCUAUUUACUAAGACAAGAAAGGAAAAUAGAAACAAAAAUGUAAUGGAAACAAUGUAAAUAUGCAUUUGCAAUAAAAUUACCUGCCAACAAACACUAAGCUAACAACAUACCAACUGAUGUUCUGCUAGCAAUGCAACAGCUCACCACCACUAGCUGCCACCAAACCAGCCCCUAAGCAACAGUUUACACAGCUGUAUGAUCUUCCACAUUAGGUCACAUAGAAAGGAAUAAUUCCUUGCCUAAUUCAGGCCAGCUGUCUUGACUCUAUCCUUACCACAGCAUCAUAAUGGUGGUGGCCCUUCACUGUCAAGUGGCCCACCCCCAAGCACACUCCAUCGCUUAAUAGCAACUAAAACAUCUGUGUACUAUUAACACCAUCUCAGCUGGAUCCUAUGUACUUUGAUUUAGUGUACUUUGGCCUUCCAAAGUUCACUAAAGUUGUAUAUAUAAUGGUGGUAUGCUCUGAAAGCAGACAUCUUUAUUUCUAUAAUUGGUUAUUACAGCACUUAAUAGCAAAACACACAUAUUUGAAAACUUUACUGACCAGAGUUUAAACAUGUCCCAUUUUAAUCAUUUGAUGAAUCCUGAUGGGUUUCUGUUACAGUACAGAAAAAUUAAAUGUGG
ensembl:lncRNA